AGGGUUAGCUUAGGGUUCUUCUGAUUUGACUUUAAUUUUUAUUUUUUCUUGUUUAAUAUUCUAAUUUUGUAAUUGUAAGUAAGUUCUUGUUUUCGAUGCAACUUAUAUUUUUAUGAUUUGAUCACUUAGUUUUUGUUGUUAAUUGGAUUGGUGGGUGUGGUAAAUAUUCAUUCUUUAUGUGAAUCGAGUCUCUGUUUUGUACUGCCAAGUUGGUUAAUUAGAUUGAAUUGGGCCAUUAGCCUUUUGAUGGGUAUUUAUAUUUCAAGUGAUGAAAUUUCAAAUUCAAGUUCAGUUCUUUCUUUUAUCAUUUUGCUUAUAAUCUGGCUUUUUUUUGGGUCAUUUGUUAGAGUUGUUGUUAUUAGUGAUCUUGUAUUGGAAUUCUGGAUAUGGGUUGUUUCAGUUUUCUUGUUUACUUGGAUUUGCUAGGUUCUUGGUCAGGUGUUUUGAUCUGCUAAGAGAAAUCGGUUACUCCCUAUUGCUAUGUGUUUGUGCUUUUUUAUGGUAUUGACCCUUAAAAGUUUCUACCGCCUUGGGAUGCAGAUUGGUAGCUUUUAAUGGAAGUAUUGGCUUGGAUUAUUUGGUUCUUGAUGUAUGAGUAAUAACAUCUUAUCAUGUUCAUUAAUAUUGGUUUGAUAUCCAUGCUAACAAUUCAUUAGAUAUCAUAUUUUCUAUUAGAAAGGGGGUUUCUAUGAGAAAGGGGGUUUCUAUGAGAAAUGUUGCAUUUCAUAUAAAUGUUUUGUUUGUAAGCUUCUGGUAUAGUUUUUUCAUGGUUAUCGACUAAUUGUCUAUGAAAUUGGUUUAUGCACGUCACUUACUUCCCUUUUCUAUUUUUGGGUUAAGAUGUUUUCUUUCAAAAUUCUUAGGUUUGGGUUUUUGUUUAUCGCCUACUUGUUUACUUUUGGCUCAUUUUUCAAUCCUUGGUGCCUUCUCAGUUUAUGGGAGGAAUGAUGCAGGCCUAGCUUCUGGUGUUACAUUAGUUGUUUCUUUGAUUGUUUUGAACCUCCCUUGUCCAUUACUGGAUACAGUUUCGAGUUUCACCUUGGAGUACUGAUUCUUAUUGGAAGGACUGGAGUGUUUUCUAUUUCAAGCACAUGGCUAUGGGGAUUUCAUCUGCAUUUAUGCAGAAGCCCCCAAGAUUUGACUACAAUUUUGCAACAUCAACAUGGGUUUUACUCCAAGUCUACCAAUUCAACUUCCUCACUCUGAUUUAAUACGUGGGCAUGUUUAUUGUUGCUUCGUUGUUCCUUUCAAGCAACUUACUCAGGCUUCUUGGCAAAGAGCCUCCAGACUUGUCAAGAGUAGGAAUUCU